rnacentral:rRNA from 1 species
AUUGAACGCUGGCGGCAUGCCUUACACAUGCAAGUCGAACGGUAACGCGGGGCAACCUGGCGACGAGUGGCGAACGGGUGAGUAAUGCAUCGGAACGUGCCCGGUAGUGGGGGAUAACUGCUCGAAAGAGCAGCUAAUACCGCAUACGACCUGAGGGUGAAAGGGGGGGAUCGCAAGACCUCUCGCUAUCGGAGCGGCCGAUGUCGGAUUAGCUAGUUGGUGGGGUAAAAGCCCACCAAGGCAACGAUCCGUAGCUGGUCUGAGAGGACGACCAGCCACACGGGGACGGAGACACGGCCCAAGCUCCUACGGGGGGGAGCAGUGGGGAAUUUUGGACAAUGGACGCAGGUCUGAUCCAGCCAUGCCGCGUGCGUGAAGAAGGCCUUCGGGUUGUAAACCGCUUUUGUCAGGGAAGAAAUCUUCUGAGUUAAUACCUCGGGAGGAUGACGGUACCUGAAGAAUAAGCACCGGCUAACUACGUGCCAGCCGCCGCCGUAACAC